rnacentral:rRNA from 1 species
CAGUAGCCGCGGUAAUACGUAGGUGGCAAGCGUUGCCCGGAAUUAUUGGGCGUAAAGGGCUCGCAGGCGGUUUCUUAAGUCUGAUGUGAAAGCCCCCGGCUCAACCGGGGAGGGUCAUUGGAAACUGGGAAACUUGAGUGCAGAAGAGGAGAGUGGAAUUCCGCGUGUAGCGGUGAAAUGCGUAGAGAUGUGGAGGAACACCAGUGGCGAAGGCGACUCUCUGGUCUGUAACUGACGCUGAGGAGCGAAAGCGUGGGGAGCGAACAGGAUUAGAGACCCCUGUAGUCCCUGUCUCUUAUAC